GGGGCGGUAGCUCAGUUGGUAGAGCACCUGCUUUGCAAGCAGGGGGUCGGCGGUUCGAGCCCGCUCCGCUCCA
rnacentral:tRNA from 1 species